rnacentral:misc_RNA from 1 species
GGUGGUGGCGAAUGCUCGGCCUCUGCCUCCCCGGACGACUCCUCCCCGGGAUUAGCAGACGGUUUCGGGAGUUCGGUUAGAAUCUGGACGACCUCCCGCAUUGUGGGCCGCUCCACACUCUGCUCCUCCACGCAUAGCAUUGCCACAUAAAAUACAUGCAUCACCUCAUGCAUAGGCACCGUAGGCAGCCGCGGGUCGAGCACAG